GCAGUCAUCAUAGAAAAAGUCUUAAUACCUUGGUUGAAAGCUAGCAUUUGGAAACAGAGAAGCCCUGUGUAAUAACAGACUAAGAAGUAAGGAAGAUGUGCCCCGCCAUCCCCCAAUCAUUCCAUUCAUACCAGGUAAAGCAACAGACCUGUCAUUGAAGCAUCUUGGAACCUCUAGCUUUAGCAAUGUUCUUGGAAUAAUUUUGAAAGUCAAUAUUUUCCUUCAGAAUACUAAAGUUUUCUUUCAUAAAAAGAAAAACUGAGGAGAGGAAACAAUUUGCUCUUUUAUCAACUUACAUGAUCAGUGCAUGAAGGUUAAGUUAUGGGCCCCAAGAGUACGCCAGCCUCAUUUGGGUAACACUCCAUCCUAAGCAGUAUGGUUUUGAGUAAAUUGAUGAGACUUUCUGUGCCUCCAUCUGUAAAUGGUAUAAUAAUACCAAUUUCAUGAAAUUGUUGUGAGAAUGACAUAAGUGAAAGCAUAUUCGCUUCAUUUUCAUUUUCUAUGCAAACUGGUUUUUCACAAAUUAUAAAGCAACAGCUAACCAAGUUAAUUGAAAUCCAGUACUUUAUUCGAAUAAUAAAGAUCUGAUAUUUAUAAAUCAAAAUUGAAAAUCGUAGUACGUAACAAAAAUUUUGUAUGUAUAGAUAAACAAAUAUAGUAAUUUAAGACAC